rnacentral:rRNA from 1 species
AGCGAACGCUGGCGGCAGGCCUAACACAUGCAAGUCGAACGAACCCUUCGGGGUUAGUGGCGGACGGGUGAGUAACACGUGGGAACGUACCUUUAGGUUCGGAACAACACAGGGAAACUUGUGCUAAUGCCGAAUGUGCCCUUCGGGGGAAAGGAUUUAUCGCCUUUAGAGCGGCCCGCGUCUGAUUAGCUUGUUGGUGAGGUAAAGGCUCACCAAGGCUUCGAUCAGUAGCUGGUCUGAGAGGAUGAUCAGCCACACUGGGACUGAGACACGGCCCAGACUCCUACGGGAGGCAGCAGUGGGGAAUCUUGCGCAAUGGGCGAAAGCCUGACGCAGCCAUGCCGCGUGAAUGAUGAAGGUCUUAGGAUUGUAAAAUUCUUUCACCGGGGAAGAUAAUGACGGUACCCGGAGAAGAAGCCCCGGCUAACUUCGUG